CUUCUGCUCCCUCCGUCCGAAAAUACUUGUCGUUGAAAUGGAUGUAUCUAGAUGUAUUUUAGUUCUAGACACAUCCAUUUUGAUGACAAGUAAUUCCGGAUGGAGGGAGUACUUG
rnacentral:pre_miRNA from 1 species